rnacentral:tmRNA from 1 species
UCUCUUUCUUCAUCAACAAUUUGAUCCUAUAUUGGGUCUGUCGGCGCAAGCCGGCUAUGGCGAUAAAUGGCCGUCGUAAUAAGCCUUUCGGACCCGGGGGCAGUACCCGGCGCCUCCACCAGUUCCAGGGUUCGGGAAACAGGAAUCAGGGAUCAGGUAAAAUAGAAGUUCCUGAUGCCUGAUUUCUGACAACUGAUCCCUGAUACGGGGGCGAAACAGGAUCGACGAGGGUGUAAAGGGCGCGCUUUUGCUCGGCAUGGUUCCGCCGUUAUCGGGCCAAUGCAAUAGUUGCCAACGACAACUAUGCUCCGGUUGCUCAGGCCGCGUAAGCGGUUUGAAAGACCGAUCUGAAGCCCUGGCGUCUUAGCAGCGUCAGGCGGGGUUCGGAGGCACCUGGCAACAGAAGCCUCCACU